GACGAACGCUGGCGGCGUGCUUAACACAUGCAAGUCGAACGAUGAAGCUAGAGCUUGCUCUUGCGGAUUAGUGGCGAACGGGAGAGUAACACGUGAGCAAUCUGCCCUUGACUCUGGGAUAACUGCGGGAAACUGUAGCUAAUACCGGAUACUUUCAACGGGGGGCAUCCUCUGGUGAUGACAUAAUUUCGGUCAAGGAUGAGCUCGCGGCCUAUCAGCUUGUUGGUGAGGUAACGGCUCACCAAGGCGACGACGGGUAACCGGCCUGAGAGGGUGACGGGUCACACUGGGGAUGAGACACGGCCCAGACUCGUACGGGAGACAGCAGGAGGGAAUAUUGCACAAUGGGCGCAAGCCUGAUGCAGCAACGCCGCGUGAGGGAUGACGGCCUUCGGGUUGUAAACCUCUUUUAGCAGGGAAGAAGCGAAAGUGACGGUACCUGCAGAAAAAGCACCGGCUAACUACGUGCCAGCGGCCGCGGUAA
rnacentral:rRNA from 1 species